GGCGGCGUAGCUCAGCUGGUUAGAGCGUGGGAUUCAUAAACCCAAGGUCAGCGGUUCGAGUCCGCUCGCCGCUA
rnacentral:tRNA from 1 species